rnacentral:rRNA from 1 species
UACGUAGGGGGCUAGCGUUGUCCGGAAUCAUUGGGCGUAAAGCGCGUGUAGGCGGCCCGGUAAGUCCGCUGUGAAAGUCCAGGGCUCAACCCUGGAAUGCCGGUGGAUACUGUCGGGCUCGAGUCCGGAAGAGGCGAGUGGAAUUCCUGGUGUAGCGGUGAAAUGCGCAGAUAUCAGGAGGAACACCGAUGGCGAAGGCAGCUCGCUGGGACGGUACUGACGCUGAGACGCGAAAGCGUGGGGAGCAAACAGG